UUGGACCAUCGUUCCCCCGACUCCCCCAGAAAGAGUGCGACACGAGGGAGAAGCAGGAAAUGGAGGACAUGGACGAGGCGAUGCGUGCUCAGUUCCCGCUCUCCUUCGGGAAGCCCUCCAAGCCCCAACCCCAUACCUCUGGCGCCCACUCCGCCACGCGCCGGAACACCUCUUCCGCUAACCCCGCGGCCUCCUUCCCGAACCCUAACCCUGACUCUCGGCCCGACCACGGCCCCCGCAGAGAGGUUUUCGAGCCUGGAAGGGCUGGUUCAAGCCGCGCCGCGGAUGAGUCCAGGGUUUCGGCGGAGGACGAGGAUGACGGCACCAUGAUCGGGCCUCCGCCGCCUCCGCCGCCGAUGGCAGCGGGGUCGGAGGAGGGGGAUGAGGGGUUGAUAAUCGGACCACCGCGGCCCCCACCGUCGUCCUCGGAGCAAAAUGAUUCGGAUGAUGAGUCGGAGUCAUCAGAAUUGGAUGGCGAUAUGGAGGAUUUGCCUCGGAUUCCCCUCAGUAACGAGAUCGUCCUCAAAGGGCAUACUAAGGUUGUCUCAGCUCUUGCUGUUGAUCAUUCAGGAUCAAGAGUCCUCACUGGUAGCUAUGAUUAUACCGUCCGCAUGUAUGACUUCCAAGGAAUGAAUUCCAAGUUGCAAUCUUUCAGACAACUGGAGCCAUUUGAGGGACAUCAAGUCCGAAGUUUAAGUUGGAGUCCAACCUCAGAUCGUUUUUUGUGUGUAACAGGUUCUGCACAGGCUAAGAUCUAUGACCGAGAUGGGCUUACCUUGGGUGAGUUUAUAAAGGGAGACAUGUAUAUACGUGACUUGAAGAACACCAAGGGGCAUAUAUCAGGAUUGACUGGUGGAGAAUGGAACCCAAAAUCAAAGGAGACUAUUUUGACUUCUUCAGAAGAUGGAUCCUUGCGUAUUUGGGAUGUUGCCGACUUCAAAAGUCAAAAGCAGGUGAUAAAACCCAAACUUGCCAGACCAUUAAGAAUUCCAGUUACUGCAUGUGCUUGGGAUCAUGAUGGUAAACGUAUUGUUGGUGGCAUUGGCGAUGGAUCAAUACAGCUAUGGAGCAUAAAGCCAGGAUGGGGAAGCAGACCAGAUAUUCAUGUUGGCGAUGCGCAUAGUGAUGAUAUUACUGGGCUUAAGUUUUCCACGGAUGGGCUGGUACUUCUGUCGAGAAGCAUGGAUAGUACACUGAAGAUAUGGGAUCUGCGCCAAAUGCGAACACCUAUUAAAGUAUUUGCAGAUCUUCCAAACCAUUAUGCUCAGACAAAUGCUGCAUUUAGUCCUGAUGAGCAAUUAAUUUUCACUGGAACAUCUGUUGAAAAAGAAGGCACAUCUGGCGGUUUACUGUUCUUUUUUGACCGAAGGAAACUAGAGCUUGUAUCACAGGUGGGGAUAUCUCCAACAUACAGUGUUAUACGUUGUACUUGGCAUCCGAAGAUCAACCAGGUUUUUGCAACAGUGGGGGACAAGAAAGAGGGUGGAACACAUAUACUGUAUGAUUCAUCUGUAAGUCAGAGAGGAGCACUUGUAUGUGUUGGACGAGCUCCAAGGAAAAAGUCUGUUGAUGAUUUCGAGGUGCAGCCAGUUAUUCACAACCCACAUGCGUUACCAUUAUUUAGAGAUGCUCCCAGCCGCAAACGUCUAAGAGAAAAAGCAUUAAAAGAUCCCAUGAAGUCACACAAGCCUGAACUUCCUGUCACUGGUCCAGGAUUUGGUGGAAGAGUUGGAGUGACCAAAGGCAGUUUGUUGACUCAGUACCUUUUGAAGCAAGGUGGUUUAAUCAAAGAAACCUGGAUGGAUGAAGAUCCAAGGGAGGCAAUACUUAAAUAUGCUGAUGCUGCUGCAAAGGAUCCUAAAUUCAUUGCCCCUGCAUAUGCAGAAACUCAACCAGAGCCUGUUUUUGCAAAGUCAGAUUCCGAGGAAGAGAAAUGAGAGAACAAUUCCAACAGGAACAGCGCUUAACUUCAAUUUGGGAUAGAGAUGAUAGGAGAUGAAGGAAUAUGAGGGCUUGUGUUCAUGUUUGUUUUUUCUUUCUUCUUUUGAAGCUGAUGAGGGUCUUUUCCUCUGUACAAAAUCUCUGACAUCGAUUCUAAGACUUAACACGUAAUAUGAGGAAUUCCAGAUCCUACUCCA